rnacentral:rRNA from 1 species
UACGGAGGAUGCAAGCGUUAUCCGGAUUCAUUGGGUUUAAAGGGUGCGCAGGCGGGGGAAUAAGUCAGUGGUGAAAAGCUGCCGCUCAACGGUAGUCUUGCCAAUGAUACUGUUUUUCUUGAGUAUGGUUAAGGUAGGUGGAAUGUGCAGUGUAGCGGUGAAAUGCAUAGAGAUUGCACAGAAGGCCGAUUGCGAAGGCAGCUUACUGAACCAUAACUGACGCUCAUGCACGAAGGUGUGGGUAUCAAACA